GAUGAACGCUGGCGGCGUGCCUAAUACAUGCAAGUCGAGCGAACGGACGAGAAGCUUGCUUCUCUGAUGUUAGCGGCGGACGGGUGAGUAACACGUGGAUAACCUACCUAUAAGACUGGGAUAACUUCGGGAAACCGGAGCUAAUACCGGAUAAUAUUUUGAACCGCAUGGUUCAAAAGUGAAAGACGGUCUUGCUGUCACUUAUAGAUGGAUCCGCGCUGCAUUAGCUAGUUGGUAAGGUAACGGCUUACCAAGGCAACGAUGCAUAGCCGACCUGAGAGGGUGAUCGGCCACACUGGAACUGAGACACGGUCCAGACUCCUACGGGAGGCAGCAGUAGGGAAUCUUCCGCAAUGGGCGAAAGCAUGACGGAGCAACGCCGCGUGAGUGAUGAAGGUCUUCGGAUCGUAAAACUCUGUUAUUAGGGAAGAACAUAUGUGUAAGUAACUGUGCACAUCUUGACGGUACCUAAUCAGAAAGCCACGGCUAACUACGU
rnacentral:rRNA from 1 species